rnacentral:rRNA from 1 species
UUCCGGUUGAUCCUGCCGGACCCCACUGCUAUCGAGGUGGGACUUAGCCAUGCUAGUCGAACGAACAGAACUAUGUCUGUAAGUGGCAUACUGCUCAGUAACACGUAGCUAACCUACCCUUAGGACGUUGAUAACCCCGAGAAAUUGGGGCUAAUAGGCGAUAGGUGUGAUGUCCUGGAAUGGUAUCACGCCCAAAGGUAUCCCAUACAUGUUUGGUAUACGCCUAAGGAUGGGGCUGCGGCCGAUCAGGCAGUUGGUGAGGUAAUGGCUCACCAAACCUUUGACCGGUACGGGCCAUGAGAGUGGUAGCCCGGAGAUGGACACUGAGACAAGGGUCCAGGCCCUACGGGGCGCAGCAGGCGCGAAACCUCCUCAAUGCACUAACGUGCGAAGGGGUUACCUCGAGUGCCACCUGAAGAAGGUGGCUUUUCCUUGGUCUAAAAAGCCUCGGGAAUAAGAGGGGGGCAAGACUGGUGUCAGCCGCCGCGGUAACACCAGCCCCUCGAGUGGUGGGGAUGAUUAUUUGGCCUAAAGCGUCCGUAGCCGGCCGUGAAAGUCUUCCGUUAAAUCCAGCGUCUCAAGCGUUGGACCGCGGGAGAUACUACAUGGCUAGAGAGUGGGAGAGGUCAGCGGUAUUCUGGGGGUAGGGGCGAAAUCCUUUGAUCCCCGGAGGACCACCAGUGGCGAAGGCUGCUGACUAGAACACGUCUGACGGUCAGGGACGAAAGCUGGGGUAGCGAACCGGAUUAGAUACCCGGGUAGUCCCAGCCGUAAACGAUGCAUGCUAGGUGUUGGGUUGGCCACGAGCCACCCCAGUGCCGCAGGAAGCCGUUAAGCAUGCCGCCUGGGAAGUACGAUCGC